GACCCGUCUUGAAACACGGACCAAGGAGUUUAAGGUGUACGCGAGUCAUUGAGCUUAUUGUCGAAACUCAACGGCGUAAUGAAAGUGAGACUCUUGGAGUCGACGAUGUGAACGGGGCGCGUUUCGACGUUCUUCGUGCAACAUCGCCCCGUGACUUGGACUUGUCCUGUUGCGGAGGUUGAGCGUACGCUUUGAGACCCGAAAGAUGGUGAACUAUGCCCGAACAGGAUGAAGCCAGAGGAAACUCUGGUGGAAGUCCGAAGCGGUUCUGACGUGCAAAUCGAUCGUCUGAUUUGGGUAUAGGGGCGCAAGACUAAUCGAACCAUCUAGUAGCUGGUUCCUUCCG
rnacentral:rRNA from 1 species